ACGUAGGGUGCGAGCGUUGUCCGGAAUUAUUGGGCGUAAAGAGCUCGUAGGCGGUCUGUCGCGUCGAAUGUGAAAUCCCCGGGCUCAACCUGGGAAUGGCAUUUGGGACUGCAAGGCUGGAGUUUGGCAGAGGAGACUGGAAUUCCCGGUGUAGCAGUGAAAUGCGUAGAUAUCGGGAGGAAUACCGAUGGCGAAGGCAGGUCUCUGGGCUAUAACUGACGCUCAUGCACGUAAGCGUGGGGAGCAAACAGGA
rnacentral:rRNA from 1 species